AUUGAACGCUGGCGGCAUGCCUUACACAUGCAAGUCGAACGGCAGCGCGGGAGCAAUCCUGGCGGCGAGUGGCGAACGGGUGAGUAAUAUAUCGGAACGUGCCCUGGAGUGGGGGAUAACUAGUCGAAAGACUAGCUAAUACCGCAUACGAUCUACGGAUGAAAGUGGGGGAUCGCAAGACCUCAUGCUCGUGGAGCGGCCGAUAUCUGAUUAGCUAGUUGGUGGGGUAAAAGCCUACCAAGGCGACGAUCAGUAGCUGGUCUGAGAGGACGACCAGCCACACUGGGACUGAGACAUGGCCCAGACUCCUACGGGAGGCAGCAGUGGGGAAUUUUGGACAAUGGGGGCAACCCUGAUCCAGCAAUGCCGCGUGUGUGAAGAAGGCCUUCGGGUUGUAAAGCACUUUUGUCCGGAACGAAACGGCGAGGGCUAAUAUCCUUUGCUAAUGACGGUACCGGAAGAAUAAGCACCGGCUAACUACGUGUCAGCCGCCGCGGUAAAAC
rnacentral:rRNA from 1 species